rnacentral:rRNA from 1 species
GAUGAACGCUGGCGGCGUGCCUAAUACAUGCAAGUCGAGCGACCGGACGAGAAGCUUGCUUCUCUGAUGUUAGCGGCGGACGGGUGAGUAACACGUGGAUAACCUACCUAUAAGACUGGGAUAACUUCGGGAAACCGGAGCUAAUACCGGCUGAUAUUUUGAACCGCAUGGUUCAAAAGUGAAAGACGGUCUUGCUGUCACUUAUAGAUGGAUCCGCGCUGCAUUAGCUAGUUGGUAAGGUAACGGCUUACCAAGGCAACGAUGCAUAGCCGACCUGAGAGGGUGAUCGGCCACACUGGAACUGAGACACGGUCCAGACUCCUACGGGAGGCAGCAGUAGGGAAUCUUCCACAAUGGGCGAAAGCCUGACGGAGCAACGCCGCGUGAGUGAUGAAGGUCUUCGGGUCGUAAAACUCUGUUAUUAGGGAAGAACAUAUGUGUAAGUAACUGUGCACAUCUUGACGGUACCUAAACAGAAAGCCACGGCUAACUACGUG